GGACAAUUAGCUCAGCCCGGUUAGAGCGUUCGCCUCACACGCGAUAGGUCAGUGGUUCGAAUCCACUAUUGUCCA
rnacentral:tRNA from 1 species